rnacentral:rRNA from 1 species
CCUACGGGGGGCAGCAGUAGGGAAUAUUGCUCAAUGGGGGAAACCCUGAAGCAGCAACGCCGCGUGGAGGAUGAAGGUUUUCGGAUUGUAAACUCCUUUUGUUAGAGAAGAUAAUGACGGUAUCUAACGAAUAAGCACCGGCUAACUCCGUGCCAGCAGCCGAGGUAAUACGGAGGGUGCAAGCGUUACUCGGAAUCACUGGGCGUAAAGGGCGCGUAGGCGGGAUAGCAAGUCAGAUGUGAAAUCCUAUGGCUUAACCAUAGAACUGCAUUUGAAACUGUUAUUCUAGAGUAUGGGAGAGGUAGGUGGAAUUCUUGGUGUAGGGGUAAAAUCCGUAGAGAUCAAGAGGAAUACUCAUUGCGAAGGCGACCUGCUAGAACAUAACUGACGCUGAUGCGCGAAAGCGUGGGGAGCAAACAGGAUUAGAUACCCGAGUAGUC